GGACGAACGCUGGCGGCGUGCUUAACACAUGCAAGUCGAACGGAAAGGCCCUAGCUUGCUGGGGUACUCGAGUGGCGAACGGGUGAGUAACACGUGGGUGAUCUGCCUUGCACUCUGGGAUAAGCUUGGGAAACUGGGUCUAAUACCGGAUAGGAACCGUCUUUAGUGUGGUGGUUGGAAAGUUUUUUCGGUGCAAGAUGAGCUCGCGGCCUAUCAGCUUGUUGGUGGGGUAAUGGCCUACCAAGGCGUCGACGGGUAGCCGGCCUGAGAGGGUGUACGGCCACAUUGGGACUGAGAUACGGCCCAGACUCCUACGGGAGGCAGCAGUGGGGAAUAUUGCACAAUGGGCGGAAGCCUGAUGCAGCGACGCCGCGUGGGGGAUGACGGCCUUCGGGUUGUAAACUCCUUUCGACAGGGACGAAGCGCAAGUGACGGUACCUGUAUAAGAAGCACCGGCUAACUACGU
rnacentral:rRNA from 1 species